AUACCCAUAGACGGUUACGUCUGUUUUGGGCGUCGCGGCCCGCGUCGCCUCGAAUCCAUUGCCGUGGAGCGGACGAGAUCCUCUGGGACCGCGCCGACUCGGCGGAAGUCAUUCUAAGG
rnacentral:misc_RNA from 1 species